UUUAACAGCUCAGUGGGUUAGAGUGCUGUUAGUAAUACAGAGGUCCUGGGUUCCAGUCCCAGUGCUAAUA
rnacentral:tRNA from 1 species